GCGCCCGUAGCUCAGCUGGAUAGAGCGUCGGACUUCUAAUCCGUUGGUCGCAGGUUCGAAUCCUGCCGGGCGCG
rnacentral:tRNA from 15 species